rnacentral:rRNA from 1 species
UACGAAGGGGGCUAGCGUUGCUCGGAAUCACUGGGCGUAAAGCGCAUGUAGGCGGAUCGUUAAGUCGGGGGUGAAAUCCUGGAGCUCAACUCCAGAACUGCCUUUGAUACUGGCGAUCUUGAAUCCGGGAGAGGUGAGUGGAACUCCGAGUGUAGAGGUGAAAUUCGUAGAUAUUCGGAAGAACACCAGUGGCGAAGGCGGCUCACUGGCCCGGUACUGACGCUGAGGUGCGAAAGCGUGGGGAGCAAACAGG